ACAUCAGUGUCCAUUGACAAACUGGAGCUCGGAGACGUUUCACUGAAACUCUCCAACGUAAAAGUCUCUGAUGAGCAAACAUGCAGACGUUCCCACAGUACCAAGCUUGUUGUUGAAAUGUACUGUAAGAUGUCCACUUCUGGCAGAGCUGUGCCCAUACAUCAGCAAAUACAGCAGACUGACAAACAUGGACGAAAUGUUUGGAAGCUGCUGAUCGCAGUCACCAUGAGGAAACAGUCAGCGGUGGAAGAAGUAUUCAGAUCUUUUACUUAAAGGUGCUGAUGACCUCUGGCUGUCAGCAGCAGAGUGACUGUGGAGACGAGACACGGCAACAGCUUCACCUGUAGAGUCCAACAGCAGAACAUCAACCAGGCCAGAGAGACACACAUCCAUGUUCCAGUCCUGUCGAGGUACGUGAAAUGUGUCUUGGCUCCAGGAUUUAUCGGUGUCUUGCUGUG